GGAAGGGCCCCCGAAUAAUUUGUUCCUGCACAGUUAGGAAUACAGAACAGGGGACGCCCAAGAUGGGAGGUUCUGCAGUUAUUAUUCAGGAGGUUUCCCUGUCCCCAACCCCAGCAACCAUCCUCAGAGUUUGAGGUCAUCCAUUGGCUGUACCCAAAGGGGGGCCCCAGGCAGGAGAUUCUGGGGCCAAAGAGGGCGGCUCCCCUGCGUGGAACCCUUCCCUGGUGGCUCCCAAAUCCGGCAUUUUCUCUGCCUGCUUUUCCCUCGGGGGAGACUCAGGAAGGCUGCAGAAAUCUGGGCGCCCGCUCGCUCGCUUGUCAAGAAGCAAACUGUCUUCACAUUCUCCAAGAGCAACAUCCCUGCCUAGGAAGAGGAAGGAAGAGGCAAAAUAAAUAAAACCAGUUAAUGUUGUAGUUAACUUGCAAAUCAAGUAAAUCUGUUGGUGCCGUAUUUGAGAAAUAAACCAUCAGAGCGUCACAGCAAACACACACUUCUGAACGUCUUCAUUUUGAUUUAAUGGUAUAUCAGCGUCAACUAUCGCUUCCUCUGCUGGUACACACGGCCUGAUGCCGCGGGAGGAGGGUGCCCAUGUUUAUCACCGAGUGAGAUGACUAAUUACACCUUGUCAAUCACCGGCUAUGAAGACAUAAAACCAGCGCGCACAAUGAAGUAGUUGCCUGCAGCGUCAAUUAGUUGGCGAUUCCG
rnacentral:lncRNA from 1 species